rnacentral:rRNA from 1 species
UACAGAGGGUGCAAGCGUUAAUCGGAAUUACUGGGCGUAAAGCGCGCGUAGGUGGUUCGUUAAGUUGGAUGUGAAAUCCCCGGGCUCCAACCUGGGAACUGCAUUCAAAACUGCAAAGCUUGAGUACUUAAGAGGAUCGCGGAAUUCCCGGUGUAGAGGUGAAAUUCGUAGAUAUCGGGAGGAACACCAGUGGCGAAGGCGGCGAUCUGGGAAGAGUACUGACGCUGAGGUGCGAAAGCGUGGGGAGCAAACAGG